rnacentral:rRNA from 1 species
GAUGAACGCUGGCGGCGUGCCUAAUACAUGCAAGUCGAGCGAACAGACGAGGAGCUUGCUCCUCUGACGUUAGCGGCGGACGGGUGAGUCACACGUGGAUAACCUACCUAUAAGACUGGGAUAACUUCGGGAAACCGGCGCUAAUACCGUAUAAUAUAUUGAACCGCAUGGUUAAAUAGUGAAAGACGGUUUUGCUGUCACUUAUAGAUGGAUCCGCGCAGCAUUAGCUAGUUGGUAAGGUAACGGCUUACCAAGGCAACGAUGCGUAGCCGACCUGAGAGGGUGAUCGGCCACACUGGAACUGAGACACGGUCCAGACUCCUACGGGAGGCAGCAGUAGGGAAUCUUACGCAAUGGGCGAAAGCGUGACGGAGCAACGCCGCGUGAGUGAUGAAGGUCUUCGGAUCGUAAAACUCUGUUAUUAGGGAAGAACAAAUGUGUAAGUAACUAUGCACGUCUUGACGGUACCUAAUCAGAAAGCCACGGCUAACUACGUG